CGGUGAGGAGGAGCAAAAGCCCUGCUUUCUCACCCCAGGAAACCGGCGCCCUGAGAAGGGAGAUGCUUGGUCCUGACCUGCCUGACUCUGCCUGGAACACCAGGCUCCUCUGCCAUGUCAUGCUUUGUCUCCUGGGAGCAGGUUCAGUGGCUGCUGGAGUCAUCCAGUCCCCAAGGCACCUGAUCAAAGAAAAGAGGGAAACAGCCACUCUGCAAUGCUAUCCUAUCCCUGAACACGACACUGUCUACUGGUACCAGCAGGGUCCAGGUCAGGGCCCCCAGUUCCUCAUUUCGUUUUAUCAAAAGAUGCAGAGAGAAAAAGGAAGCAUCCCUGAUCGAUUCUCAGCUCAACAGUUCAGUGACUAUCAUUCUGAACUGAACAUGAGCUCCUUGGAGCUGGGGGACUCAGCCGUGUACCUCUGUGCCAGCAGCUUAGGCACAGCCCUGCAGAAUUACUGGCUUUCUGUACCCAAACCCUCCUGUCUCAGUUGGGGAUGUAACAGGGAGAAGGAGGUGGGGGCUGCCACACAGCUUUAGCCAAGCCCCAGAGAUGCUUCUAGUUCUUUUCUAACAUUUUCCCCCGCCCUGCUGAGCUCAGUGAGAGCUCCUGCACUUGUGGGCUCCGGACCCACUAGAAGUUCUCACAUCUUAGCCAGUACUUUUUAAUUCCUAGCAAGUGGUGGGAGCUCAUACUCUGUGCCAACAUAUGGGCAUGUGUUUUAGUGUGUUUUCUGUUGCCAUACAGAAUACCUGAGACUGGGUAUUUUAUAAAUAAAUGAAAUUUGCUUCUUAUAGCUCUGGAGGUUGGGAAGUCCAGGGUCAAGGACCCAUAUCUGGUGAGGAUCUUCUUGCUGGUGAGGACUCUGCAGAGUCCUCAGGUGGCACAGGGCAUCACAUAUGAGGGGGCUCAUGAAAGAUGGCCAAACUGGCUUUUAUAACAGACUCACUCUCAUGAUAACCUACCCAUUCCCUCUAUAACCCAUUAAUCCAUGAAUGGAUUAACCUUCACGAGGGCAGAGUCCUUAAGACCUAGUCACCUCCCAAAGGUCCUACCUCUCAAUGCUGCUGCAUUGGGAACCAAGUUUUCAAUAUAUAAAUUAUUUAGGAACACAGUCAAAUCAUAGCAGUGCACAUUGUGUUUUUUUCUUCUUUUUUGAGACAGGGUCUCACGCUGUCACCCAGACUGGAGUGCAGUGGUGU